CACCUCUUCUAUGAAAUCAAUAUACGUAGUCCCCCUUCUAGUCGCUAGGUGGCACCACAGCUUUAAAGCAGAGCCAAAAAACUGUGGAAUAACUUACCAUGGACGGUAUAUUCGCCAUCUAUGGUCUUAACCUCAUUCCUCUUUUUGUGCUUUGGUGGCACAUGUUCAUUUUUAUUCGGCGUCGGUGUUUUCAGCUUUUUUCAGCGUUUUUGGAAGUUAAAUGGAGAAGUACAAGUGAGAUUUACGUUAUUCCUUAUCGGAUGAAGAAAGAACCUACCUACGACGAAAGAUUAAAUCUUUCCAUCCGCGAUUACAUAAUCGCUAGUGGCGUGGUUCCCAUCAACGAGAUUUUCUUACAAUUGGGAGACGAUUUCUUCAUCGUCCGGGUUCCGAUCGGAAUCCCCAGAACUCGAAAGACCCCCCAUCUUUCCCACUUAUACGACAGCAGUCGUAUGUAAGUGUUUCGCAAUUGGAAGCAAUCCUUUUGUGAGGGGGUCGGCCAUACAUAUGGUUUUAUAUUUUUUCGACAUCGAAAAAAUAGAGUUUUCUGGCUCGUCCGGCUAUGGAUGAGGCGCCCGGGAUACUGGGACAUAAUGAACAAUUUUUUAUGGCUGUUGGAAUGCAUUUACUCCAUCGUAAGUAUAUUUUUUAGGCCCUUCAAUUAAUUCUGAUGUCAUUGUUGAGCCCCUUGAGACGGAUUUAAAGCAAAAUGGCCUUUAAGCUAUGGGGUCGAUAGUCCCAACACAAAGUUUGAUGUGUCAUGACAUUUUGGCAAGUCAGAUUAAUACCUUUUUGAAAUCCGGUGUGUCCGAAGAUUGUCUCAGUAACCUUUUGCGUUGAUAUCCUGUGCCGAAGAAUUGCCCGCUCAAUAACUCUCCUAAAUCGAAUGUGCAGAUGAAAUCUGCCAUCAACAAAGGUGGAAAGAAAAGGGAUGAGAGACUGACUGCAACAAGGGGUGCUUUGAUGGUGGUUGGUAGGACGCUCUUGACCUUGCUUUUGAAACCGGUUAAGGAUGAGUAGUACUUACUUCUCAUCGAAAUGUUGAGUAAUGCAAUAUUUGUUUUAAGCAAAAUACACCAUUUAGGUUCAGUAUAUAGAAGUUCAGCCGCGUUAAGCCUUUCGCUGGUCUCAAAUGAAAUGCAGCCUUGUAUGAAGGAAGUGCUCGUUGAUGCUUCUUUGCACUCUUGUUUAUAUGGAGAAGAUUUGGCUGAUAGGCUCAAAUCAAUCAGAUUAGCUGCAGAUUAGUGGCCGAGUUAAAGUCAGGUGCAUCCGGAACAAGGCUUUUAUAGCAUACAAAUUUAAACUCGACCGUCCCACUUCGUUCCCGGAAGUUGCAAGGCUGAAGUGGGUGAAAGUCAUUGUACCCUCAAAAGAGGGAAUACAGGAAGGUUCGAGAGGAAAGGGGGUGGAGUUGUGUCCCCAGGAAAAAAUAGUUUUGUUUUUUUGAAUCCCACCACUUGUUUUUCUGAUGAGUAAGUAAGUUUUGCAAUUUGAACCGUUGCGAAAUAAGAGUCUUUGCCGAGCUUUGUGCUGUGCUAGUUUUCAGUUUGCCCAGCAGUUUGUUACAGUUGGGUAUAUACUAAGAAUUUUUGAGAGAAUCAAGACUCUAAUUAUGAUAUUUGGAUGAUAAUUCCUUGUAAUUUACGGAGGGAUUUUAUGUGAUGGCUAAAAAGUUUACAGAAUCCUGAAUGCCCUGUAAGGCAGCAAUGUUACAAACUUGAGAUUUUCUCAGAUGGUACUCCUUUGGGUUGGGGAAUUGUGCCAGAGGACUUUGGAGUCCUAGGGAAGCUCAGUUUCAUAUUAAUGCACUAGAAUUAACUGCGGCCUCAUUUGGUCUCUAAUGCUUCGCCUCGUAUUUGACUAACUGCGAGACACUUUUGAGGAUUGAUAACACAACUGCUAUUUUGUAUGAAAAUAGAAUAGGGUGAGUAAAAUUUCCUGUUUUAAACGAAAUUUCGAGGUGCCUUGGGGUUGGUGUGAAGAAAGGAGGUUAUGGGUUAAAGCAUCUUACAUUCGAUCUUCCGAUAAUUUUGAAGCGGAUAAGGAACCCACGAAUUUGAAUUUUGAUGGUGAAUGGUACCUUUCGGACAAUGCUUUUGCUAAAAUAACAAGCAAAUUUGGAUUCCCAUAAAUCGAAUUGUUUGCUUCUCGCCUAAGUAAGAAAUGCGGAAAGUUUAUUUCCUAAUUUCCAGAUCCGUAGGCAUCUAAUGAAGACGCGUUUACUGUUUUUUGGAGCGACAGUUUCUUCUAUGUUUUCCCCCCGUUUUGCUUGUUGCCACUUGUUUUACGAAAAAUCAAGGCUUAUUGAGCUACAGGGAUCGCAGUAAUCCCUUACGGGCACAGCCAGCAAUGACAAAUUACCUUCUCCUUUUGACAGGAGAGGUCAUCCUGGCUGCAGGGAUUUUGUCAGGCAAGCAUUCCAGAAGAUUUGCUGGAUAUUUUUCUAUCAUCUGUUCAGAGCGCUACCUUGAGGCAUUUAAUACCUGCAUGCAUUUAAACUUUGGUGGAGCUUCUACGAAAGGAGGGGAGUGGAGUGUUAUUACUUCUCACCUAGGCUGUAUUAGAUUUCCUUACUAUUCAUUUUAGGCAAGGCAAGUCCUAUGGCUCAUUGAGUUCUUUCAGUGCAGCACGGCCUUAUUUUUGGAUCAGAUUUAUUUAACAAUGCAAAUCUAACUAGGUUUUUUAAGGUGUUUAUAAUCUAAGGCCAAGUAAACCAAGAUAUAACAGCACUUGGGGCCCUAGUUAUGUCCCUGACUUUGUAAAAGGGUUACGUUCUAAUGACUUGUCAUUAAAGCAAUUAACUGUCAUUAAAACAAUUAAAUUAGUUUCUCCUACUGAAGUUAACGAUUGUACAUAGAGUCCCAACGCUCUCUCUUAUAGAAUUGGUCAACAUAAAAUCAUUUCCAGAUGGAUUAGAAAUUAGAAUAACGAAUCAAAUUAAGAUUUCAGCUAUAAAUAAGACUCGACCUGUUUUUUAAUUUUGCAUAAAUAUGAAGAUGUAAAUCUUUGUGUGGUUUCAAAUAUAUUAUUGAGAGGGCCAGUGCUUUAAGAGGCAGUGAAUCUCGUUUACUCAUUACAUUUAAAAAGCCUUGUAGGGCAGCAACUAUACCCAACAAAAGUAGAUGAAUAAAGAUAACUUUAGAAGAUAGUGGUGUCUACACCUUUAGUUUUACUGUUCACAGAACUCGACAUGCCUCAACAUCGUCUGCGUUUUGUAAAGGUGUUUCAAUUGAUAUGAUUGGAAAAACGGCAGAUUGGUGAGAAUACUCUAAAUGUUUUCCCCUUUUUUAUAAUAGACCUAUUUGUACAGCAAGUGCAGGCCUUUUUGUUAAUGCCACAUUUGGGACAUAGAAUUUUUCAGAAGGUUUGUUUUCUCGGAUAGCCAUUUAUUUUGUAUUUGUACUCGAGGCUUUCAUAAACUUCCUGGAUUUCCUUAUAUAGCCGAAUAAAAUCGUUUUAUAACAAAUUUGCUGAGUUGCCUUUGAAAGUCUACGUAUAUUGAUUUCAUAGAAGAGGUGUAACAUAUAAUUCAAUGAUCAAACGAACUUACCUGGUAAGUGAAGUUCGAUCGUAAUUAUAUGUUACACCUCUUCGUAGAAAUCACCCAUUCCCGCCCAAUUUACUGUUCUGAACAGUACUAAAAUGCCCUUUGGCAAAUUUAUUAUAAACGGGCUUUAAAAUAGAAUGAGGUUAAGACCAUAGAUGGCGAAUAUACCGUCCAUGGUAAGUUAUUCCACAGUUUUUUGGCUCUGCUUUAAAGCUGUGGUGCCACCUAGCGACUAGAAGGGGGACUACGUAUAUUGAUUUCUACGAAGAGGUGUAACAUAUAAUUACGAUCGAACUUCACU